CUGCCCUGGGAUGUCACUAAGGGGUGAAGGGGCCACGGAUGGCCAGGGACAUCAAGCAUGCCAAGCCAGAAUUCUGCACACCAGCUCCCUGGGACUUCUGCCUGUUCCACAGGGCCUGGCUUGCACACCAGCAGCCCUGUAGUUGGGAAACCAUCCCUGCAGUCUGAAAGAGCUCCCUCUGACCCCACAGCCCUUAUCCUGGCUUCUGUUGUUAUUUAGGAUAUGGGGUCUCACCUAACAUUGGACAAAUGCAACGUGGAUCAGAGAUUGUGCUCAGGAGUCAGGGAAAUUGAAGUUUCAUUCCUGGAUCAGCUGCUUGUUAGCCCUAUCACCUUGCUUGGCCUCACUAAGCCUCACUGUAAAACCGGGAAAAUAAAAUAGGAUAGUUAUGAAAAUUAAAUGAGAUAACGCUCAUUAAGCCAUUAGCAUGGUGCCUUGUAC
rnacentral:lncRNA from 1 species